GGGGGUGUACUGGUUUCGACGGGGGUGUGGAGGCAGGAAUAGCGGGCGGAUGCGCCUACCAUCCUUAAAAUGGGCAGCUUAUAAAUUAAAGAACAACGAUAAUACUGUUCUUCUCGCUGCUUAAUUAAGCGAGCGUUCCACCCGGGAGGACCACGGCCCGGGAUGGGGCGUCGACUAGUGGUGAACAUGCGUGCGCAAAGCUUUGAGCGCACCAUGGAUCAUGAAGCUACCAGACUCUCGAGCGUGACGGCACGCGCCUGAGCGAGGGAAUGUAAAUUACCGUCUGCGCCCGGAGAAGUUCCUGAGGAAACGCUUUCGGACAGGGGUUCGAUUCCCCUCACCUCCACCA
rnacentral:tmRNA from 1 species